AUUGAACGCUGGCGGCAGGCUUAACACAUGCAAGUCGAGCGGAGAUGAGGUGCUUGCACCUUAUCUUAGCGGCGGACGGGUGAGUAAUGCUUAGGAAUCUGCCUAUUAGUGGGGGACAACAUUCCGAAAGGAAUGCUAAUACCGCAUACGCCCUACGGGGGAAAGCAGGGGAUCUUCGGACCUUGCGCUAAUAGAUGAGCCUAAGUCGGAUUAGCUAGUUGGUGGGGUAAAGGCCUACCAAGGCGACGAUCUGUAGCGGGUCUGAGCGGAUGAUCCGCCACACUGGGACUGAGACGCGGCCCAGACUCCUACGGGAGGCAGCAGUGGGGAAUAUUGGACAAUGGGCGGAAGCCUGAUCCAGCCAUGCCGCGUGUGUGAAGAAGGCCUUUUGGUUGUAAAGCACUUUAAGCGAGGAGGAGGCUACCUGGAUUAAUACUCUAGGAUAGUGGACGUUACUCGCAGAGUAAGCACCGGCUAACUCUGUGCCAGCCGCCGCAGUAAGAC
rnacentral:rRNA from 1 species